GUCAUUUGAAUCGUUACCUUCAGUGCUGGCUGGUCCUCCAGCAAGUGCACGUUGGUGACUUUCAUCCAUACCCCUGUGCACCUUUGGCCUCUUGCUGGCUUCGGCUGGCAGAGGAUUUUACACACAACUCGAAUGUAAUGAAAACUACUGUUGUGCGCAAGCACUACCUAAUGUA
rnacentral:misc_RNA from 1 species